rnacentral:miRNA from 1 species
UUUGCACACCGGGUCUUCGUAU